rnacentral:lncRNA from 1 species
UUUAUCGUUUUCAGUUGCUUAGUCAAGGUACUCACGAUUCAAUCAAAUGAUAUUGAGCAUGUUUCCCAUAUCUUCUCGAUCAAUUGCUGUGGAUUCUGUUUUAGUAGAAGAUUCUAUUCAUGAGGAGCGAUUCGCGUUCUUUCAAUAGUAGUUAUCUCUCCCCUUCAUCUGGAAGGAAGAGGAAAUCGACCCCCAGCAAUUGGUAAUCAUUCCUGGCCGGCUGGCCGAGGUCGAGUUCCUCCCUUAUUGAGAAUCUAUAUGGCUUUGUUCGUCUCUAUUAUUUAUUUUUCAAUAGCCAAAAACUUGAGUUUCAAGUCUGCGAUAGGUCAAUGUACUAGGGCUCAUGCCCAAAUGGGGGCUUUCUUUUCUCUUGCAUGCGCCUUCGUUACUCAUUCAUUCAAAUCAAAGGAAGCUCCAUCGGUAAAAGGGAUAGGGAUGGCGCAUUGGCUUGGUUGGCGGCUGGCGAGCUUAGCUUAGAUAAAAGGUU